GAUGAACGCUGGCGGCGUGCUUAACACAUGCAAGUCGAACGGAAAGGCCCAAGCUUGCUUGGGUACUCGAGUGGCGAACGGGUGAGUAACACGUGGGUGAUCUGCCCUGCACUUCGGGAUAAGCCUGGGAAACUGGGUCUAAUACCGGAUAGGACGAUGGUUUGGAUGCCAUUGUGGAAAGUUUUUUCGGUGUGGGAUGAGCUCGCGGCCUAUCAGCUUGUUGGUGGGGUAAUGGCCUACCAAGGCGUCGACGGGUAGCCGGCCUGAGAGGGUGUACGGCCACAUUGGGACUGAGAUACGGCCCAGACUCCUACGGGAGGCAGCAGUGGGGAAUAUUGCACAAUGGGCGCAAGCCUGAUGCAGCGACGCCGCGUGGGGGAUGACGGCCUUCGGGUUGUAAACUCCUUUCGCUAGGGACGAAGCGUUUUGUGACGGUACCUGGAGAAGAAGCACCGGCUAACUACGUG
rnacentral:rRNA from 1 species